CUUUCCCUUCUUCACUCCGAAAUUAAAUAAAUAAAUAAAUAAAAACAAAAACUAAACCCUGAAACACGCUCUUUUCGCGCCUCCUUCACUCACUCCUUCACCGGAACCCUAACCGAAAUGCCAAUGAGCUAUUGCGUAACCCCUCUCCAGAAUCUUCCACUGGUUUUCUUCUCCCAUUCACCUUCAAUUCGCUUUUCUUCCAAAUCCUUUGCCGUCAAUAAUCCCGCUUCCACUACUACCUUCCGGCCAUGGCUCACCCCGCUCGGAAAGUCACCGAUUCGGUGUUGUCAGAGAGACCGCGACGUCUCAGCCUGCGCCGGAACCAUCGCCAUCCCCGCCGUCGAAAACGCCUCCAAAGUGGGUAAAAGAACCGACUUGAAGAAGAUACUGAUCCUGGGUGCCGGACCCAUUGUGAUAGGCCAAGCCUGCGAGUUCGAUUACUCGGGAACUCAAGCUUGCAAGGCCCUGAAAGAAGAAGGGUACGAGGUUAUUCUGAUAAACUCGAACCCGGCGACGAUAAUGACGGAUCCGGACUUGGCUGACAGGACUUACAUAACGCCGAUGACGCCGGAAUUGGUGGAGCAGGUUCUAGAAGCGGAGCGCCCCGACGCUCUGCUUCCGACGAUGGGUGGCCAGACGGCGUUGAACCUGGCGGUGGCUUUGGCGGAGAGCGGCGCUCUCGAGAAAUACGGUGUGGAGCUGAUUGGUGCAAAGCUUGAAGCUAUAAAGAAGGCUGAGGAUAGAGAGUUGUUUAAGGAGGCAAUGAAGAAUAUUGGGAUUAAAACUCCACCUUCUGGAGUUGGUACCACAAUUGCUGAGUGUGUUCAAAUAGCCAAUGAGAUUGAAUUCCCUUUGAUUGUUAGGCCAGCUUUCACUUUGGGUGGCACUGGUGGUGGGAUUGCAUAUAAUAGGGAAGACUUGGAGGAAAUUUGCAAGGCUGGGCUUGCUGCUAGCUUGACUAAUCAAGUGUUAAUCGAAAAGUCUUUGUUGGGUUGGAAGGAGUAUGAGCUUGAGGUUAUGAGAGAUUUGGCUGAUAAUGUGGUUAUCAUAUGUUCCAUUGAGAAUAUUGAUCCCAUGGGAGUUCAUACUGGGGAUUCCAUCACUGUUGCUCCUGCGCAAACUUUGACGGAUAAGGAGUAUCAGAGACUUCGUGAUUACUCAAUUGCUAUAAUAAGAGAGAUUGGGGUGGAAUGUGGGGGUUCUAAUGUGCAGUUUGCUGUCAAUCCAAAUGAUGGUGAGGUGAUGGUGAUUGAGAUGAACCCCAGGGUUUCGAGGUCUUCGGCUUUGGCAUCAAAGGCAACUGGAUUCCCUAUAGCAAAAAUGGCGGCCAAGUUGUCUGUUGGUUAUUCCUUGGAUCAAAUCCCGAAUGAUAUAACAAAAAAGACACCUGCUAGUUUUGAGCCCUCUAUAGAUUAUGUGGUUACAAAGAUUCCUCGGUUUGCUUUUGAAAAGUUUCCUGGUUCUAAGCCAAUAUUGACAACACAGAUGAAGUCAGUUGGAGAGGCAAUGGCAGUAGGGCGAACCUUCCAAGAGUCCUUUCAAAAAGCAGUACGUUCUUUAGAAUAUGGCUACUCUGGAUGGGGUUGUGCAAAAUUGAAGGAGUUGGACUAUGACUGGGAGCAAUUGAAGUAUAGCCUCCGAGUUCCUAACCCGGAUCGCAUCCAUGCUGUAUAUGCUGCAAUGAAGAAAGGGAUGCAAAUUGAUGACAUUUAUGAGCUGAGUUAUAUUGACAAGUGGUUUCUCACACAGCUCAAGGAGCUAGUUGAUGUGGAAAAUUUCUUGUUGUCUCAUAAUUUGUUUGAUUUCACAAAUGGCGAUUUCUAUGAGGUGAAGAGAAGAGGAUUUAGCGAUAAACAAAUAGCAUUUGCAACUAAAUCCACUGAGAAAGAAGUUCGAGUUAGGCGACAAUCUUUGGGUGUUACUCCAGCAUAUAAGCGAGUUGAUACCUGUGCUGCAGAAUUUGAAGCUAAUACUCCUUACAUGUACUCUUCUUAUGAUUUUGAGUGUGAAUCGGCUCCCACUAAAAGAAAGAAGGUUUUAAUUUUGGGUGGAGGACCAAAUCGAAUUGGUCAAGGGAUUGAGUUUGACUAUUGUUGUUGUCAUGCGUCCUUUGCUCUUCAGGAAGCAGGAUAUGAGACAAUCAUGGUGAAUUCGAAUCCUGAGACAGUCUCCACAGAUUAUGACACUAGUGAUCGUCUAUACUUUGAACCCUUGACCGUUGAAGAUGUUUUGAACAUUAUUGAUUUGGAAAGGCCUGAUGGUAUCAUUGUACAGUUUGGAGGUCAAACACCAUUGAAGUUAUCUCUCCCCAUACAACAAUACCUAGAUGAACACAAGCCAGUGUCUGCAAGUGGGGUUGGUCCUGUACGCAUUUGGGGAACAUCUCCUGAUUCCAUAGAUAUCGCUGAGGACAGAGAGAGGUUCAAUGUGAUGCUUCAUGAACUUAAGAUUGAACACCCAAAAGGAGGAAUUGCUAGGAGUGAAACAGAUGCACUUGCCAUUGCAGCAGAAAUUGGAUAUCCAGUUGUGGUUCGUCCUUCCUAUGUUUUGGGUGGUCGUGCAAUGGAGAUUGUAUAUAGUGACGAUAAACUUGUGACUUACCUUGAAAAUGCUGUUGAGGUGGAUCCAGAACGCCCUGUAUUAGUUGACAAGUAUUUAUCUGAUGCCUGUGAGAUUGAUGUUGAUGCUCUGGCUGACUCAUAUGGCAAUGUAGUCAUUGGUGGGAUAAUGGAGCACAUUGAACAGGCUGGGAUACAUUCCGGUGACUCUGCCUGCUCUAUUCCCACGAGAACUGUUGCGUCUUCUUGCUUGGAGACAAUCAGGUCAUGGACUGAAAAAAUGGCUAAACAACUGAAUGUUUGUGGGCUCAUGAAUUGUCAGUAUGCAAUAACUCCAUCGGGGGAUGUAUUUUUGCUCGAGGCCAACCCUCGAGCUUCUCGUACAGUCCCAUUUGUAUCAAAAGCAAUUGGCCACCCAUUGGCUAAAUAUGCUUCCCUUGUCAUGUCUGGAAAGUCUCUUUCUGAUAUACAAUUUACAAGAGAGGUUAUUCCUAAGUAUGUGUCAGUCAAAGAAGCAGUUCUUCCUUUUUCAAAGUUCCCAGGCUGUGAUGUGUUUCUAAGUCCUGAGAUGCGCAGUACUGGUGAGGUCAUGGGUAUUGACUCUAUGUAUAAUAUUGCAUUUGCUAAGGCUCAAAUUGCUGCCGGCCAAAAGUUACCACUUUCCGGUACUGUUUUCCUUAGCUUGAACGACUUAACCAAGCCUCACCUUGAGAAGAUUGCGAAGGCUUUUACUGAGAUUGGAUUUCAGAUUGUUGCUACUUCUGGAACAGCUAAUGUUCUUAAAUUAGCUAAAAUCCCAGCAGAGCGAGUGCUGAAGUUGCAUGAAGGGAGGCCUCAUGCCGGUGACAUGAUAGCCAAUGAAGACAUUCAGCUGAUGGUGGUAACCAGUUCAGAUGAUGCACUUGAUCGGAUAGAUGGUCUUGCUCUGAGAAGGAUGGCUUUGGAUUACAAGGUCCCUAUUGUGACGACAGUUAAUGGAGCUCUGGCAACUGCUGAAGCAAUAAAGAGCAUGAAGUCCAACUCUAUCAAAAUGAUUGCUCUUCAGGACUUCCACUGAUGAUGAAUUUAGAAAGUGAGAAUUUUUUUGCAGACAACCUCUUUCUCUGUGAAUUGGUUAUGUGAUAGAUACUAAUUAUUGUGAGCUUGUACAACUUGCUAGAUUUGGGAGUGGCAGAUUGGAUGGGAUACUUUCAUUUGUAGAAUAAAAGUGACCAAAAGAGAUAUCAAAGGUCAUGUAGUCUGUGUCCUGACUCCUGAUAAAGCACAUGUCCUUCUGGGUAAGUUUUUGUCGUAUGUUGGAUUUCUACUAUUUAAUAAUCAUUUUUAUGUUAAAAAUCUUGCAUCUCCUAUUUGAUGCUUCUGCUUAGCCAUUUCAUUUGUAUGGCAAUCCUAAAUUAAAGACUGUGAGUAUAAUAAUUAUGUUAAUUAUCUGCUUGUCCUAAAAAUUGUGAAUGU